UCUCUUUCUGGAGAAUCUUUCUGGAGAAUCUGGAUCUGUGACAUGUUCAACAGCACAGGGAGUAUGCAUAUGAAGAGAAGAUAAUGGCCCAAACACAACAUCCUGUGGAAAAGCUUGGCUGGAGUCUUUUCCAAAGCAAUAAUUAUUGGAGGAAUGGGAUGAGAAACAUGAAGACAGAAUCACAGGAACCAUUAGAGACUAAAUUUCGUGAAGAGUAUGCUCUCUGGAGUCCAGUCACGGCAUCCAAACGGACUAUUUUGAGCUCCGUCAGAUUUGCAACAGAACUCUGGGAUCAGAUGAAAGCCUGAAAAAUAUUUGGGAGAAAACUGAAAAAGAAGCUUUGAAAAUAAUGACUGAAGACAGUGUGCCCAAAUUGUGAUGCUUAACAGGAUCCUUCUGACCAUUUCAAGAGUAAGGAAAGAAUAUGAGAACAUCACCUGAGCCAUCUGUACUGUCACAAAAAUAUCAGUGUUACAUUUUCUACCUUUAGGAAAUGUGAACUAUCCUAUUAAGUCUCCAGAAAUGUUGGCUUGUGGAAAUUAAGUGACUUCAGUGCUGAUGAGCAAGCAUUUUUGUACUUCAAGCUCCCGGUUACAUAAGUAAUCAAAGACAACAAAGUGAAUACUGGAAUUUCCUGGUCCUUAUGAAAACCUUUAGGUUUCAGCAUAAGGCAUUUUUUGAGAAAGUUCUGGGCAUUUCUGAGAACACUAAUAGAUGCAGAAACUACAUAGUGUAUCACAGGCUCAUGAAAACAACUAAUUCAAUAUCAUUCUAUAUUUAAUGUUGUUCAGCUACAGAGCAACGCUACUGCAGUGUGGAAAAUCACUGGCAGGUUUACAGGGAUAUGCAUAUUACCCAGUAUGACAGAAUCAAAGGAUGAAAAAUGACUUGUAGACUUUGGUGAGAGCAGGAAAGUCAAAAUAUGCACAAAACUGAAGAAAAACUUUAUCAUAGUUUAGACACAGGCGCUUUAGAAUUUGGAAAGGUCAUCAUAAACUCUGAAGCCUACAGAAAUGUCACUUCCUCGCAAUGAGCUAAACAUGAAGAAACAUAAAGAAAUUGGAAGCUUCUGCUCAGUCUUUUAAAGACUACAAAGCAAAAGAAAAACUAGCAGCUGGCAGAGAAGAUUGAAGUAAAGGGCAAAAAUACUGGAGAACAAAGGUUUUUAUGGACUAAUUUUUUUUUUUUUUCAGACUAUAAUAAGCAAUUUAACAAGUGAAGAUGGGAACAUAUGUGAAGAUAUAUGGCUUCAGCAGAUCAAAGCUAGAAGACAGAUGAAAUGGCCAAAAGGCCAAUUGAAACCUGUUGAUCAACUACAGCUGAUCCUGUGUAACAACAAAAAAUGUUACGUUUAGAUGCUGUGCUGGUUGGAGUGCAUCGUUGUAGCUUUCACUGAUCUUUUCAUUUAUGCUCUCCCUCUUGUAUCUCUGGCCCACACUGUCUCUUUAAUUUUUAUCACCUCACAACAGAGUUUCACACUUUCUUCCCAUUUUUGACUAGCAUAAGAUUAGUGACCAGGGUCCAUCUGUCUGCUGCACAGCAUUGUUGUAGGUUUUGAAAGUAAAAAGCAGCACAGAGAAAGCAAGAGCAUCAACUGAUGUAAAAGUUUAGCUGGGUGAACAUAUGGGAAAGGCCCUUCUCUCUGGCACACUCUGCAAAAAGACCUAGCAAGGUGUGAGUCAGAGCUUGGAUGU
rnacentral:lncRNA from 7 species